rnacentral:rRNA from 1 species
GGGAACAUACCCUUUUCUACGGAAUAGCUCUGGGAAACUGGAAUUAAUACCGUAUACGCCCUAUGGGGGAAAGAUUUAUCGGGGAAGGAUUGGCCCGCGUUGGAUUAGCUAGUUGGUGGGGUAAAGGCCUACCAAGGCGACGAUCCAUAGCUGGUCUGAGAGGAUGAUCAGCCACAUUGGGACUGAGACACGGCCCAAACUCCUACGGGAGGCAGCAGUGGGGAAUAUUGGACAAUGGGCGCAAGCCUGAUCCAGCCAUGCCGCGUGAGUGAUGAAGGCCUUAGGGUUGUAAAGCUCUUUCACCGAUGAAGAUAAUGACGGUAGUCGGAGAAGAAGCCCCGGCUAACUUCGUGCCAGCAGCCGCGGCAAUACGAAGGGGGCUAGCGUUGUUCGGAAUUACUGGGCGUAAAGCGCACGUAGGCGGAUAUUUAAGUCAGGGGUGAAAUCCCAGAGCUCAACUCUGGAACUGCCUUUGAUACUGGGUAUCUUGAGUAUGGAAGAGGUAAGUGGAAUUGCGAGU